GUAUGCCAGCUUUAACCAAAGGCAAAGGAAUCAUUUUUCAAACACGCUGGUAAUCCAUAAACUACACAGAGCUAGACAAUCAAUGAAGGCUGCUCACACCAUAACCUCAAAGUCUACUAAAGUUUCAAACGAAGUACAAGAUAAGCAACACAACGGAGCAGGAGAAAGAAACCAGCGAGGGCAACCGCAUCUAUCCAGUACUCUGCUCUUGCCAUGUCCAUCUCCUCAAGGAACAUUGUUGAGUUCCUGAAGUGGCAGUAUUCUUCUGAGCAGGACAGCUUCUCACGCCCAUAACCAUAUAUAGAUAUCAUCGCUCCCUCAAAGCCAUAUCGAAUGUAACUAACAUAUGUCACCCACUGCAGAUAGCCAGGAAUUGUGUUGAAGUUCACAAAGAAACCAGAAAACAGAAGAAUUGGCACUGAUGCUACUGGCCCAAAAAACACUCCAUUCUGAAAUGAAAAUACUGCACUGUAAAAUUAUAUUUUUACAGAACAGGCCAGGAGCAAAUUUGUUCUCUGAAAACUAUUUUUACAGGAAAAUUUAAAUUCUGCAAUUUGCUAAAUAAUUCAUUAAAAUAUUUCUGAAUAAUGACAAGGAAUAAACAUACUUACCUGUAAUCUGAAUGGUUCCCUUUGUUAAGGUUUCAUAUAGUAUGAAUGCAAGUACGUUCAAGAGUUUCAUAGGAGCAGUGCUAUAGAUUUAUACUUGAAAGAAACAUCACACUUUAACUAAAUGAUUCGAGUUUAUGGUUGUAGUAACAACAAAUCUGAGUUCUUAGGUUCCCAUGGAACUAAAAAUGUCAAAAGUGGUCUCCUGGAUUAUGACAUUAAAAGUCUUUUAAGUGAUCAUCACACAGAAGUCCAUGUUCAAUAAUAAAGGAAAGUACAUAAUUAAAAAAUUCUCAUAAAUCUCAUGCUUCAUGUAUAGAAUUUUGUUUUUCAAGAUUAUAAACAAGCCUGCAUACUGUC